rnacentral:rRNA from 1 species
AUUGAACGCUGGCGGCAGGCCUAACACAUGCAAGUCGAGCGAGCGGCGGAAGGGUGAGUAAUGUCUGGGAAACUGCCUGAAGGAGGGGGAUAAAUACUAGAAACGGUAGCUAAUACCGCAUACAAUCAGAUAUGCCCAGACGGUAUCAGCUAGUAGGUGGGGUAACGGCUCACCUAGGCGACGAUCCCUAGCUGGUCUUAGAGGAUGACCAGCCACACUGGAACUGAGACACGGUCCAGACUCCUACGGGAGGCAGCAGUGGUGAAUAUUGCACAAUGGGCGCAAGCCUGAUGCAGCCAUGCCUCGUGUGUGAAGAAGGCCUUCGGGUUGUAAAGCACUUUCAGCGGGGAGGCGUUACCCGCAGAAGAAGCACCGGCUAACUCCGUGCCAGCAGCCGCGGUAAUAC